rnacentral:rRNA from 1 species
CGAGCUCCGCCUCCGCAAGCGUGGCCCGCCGCUCCCUCUGCUUCCCUGCCGCGCAAGCAUCGACCGCCGAACGAUAAAGAACACGUGACAUGGUCGACCGGGUCGCCCUGGCGAGGCGGGGGCGCUCCGGCCGUCAACCAUUUCCGCCGCCACGGCGCCGGAGCCGCAGGGCGAGAACGCAGUGCCUGGCACGAGCACGUACUCAAUGCCGCGUGCGCCGGCGAGACGGGCGCACUCCGGGCGUCCACCAUCUCCUCCCCCUUCGUCAUUUCAAGUGGGACCACGAUGUCAGUGGCGAACCGUCAAACUCCCGGAUAAGAUUUCCAAGCCAAGGGAAGUAGCAGAGCAGAGCAGAGGCGAUGGCCGCAUCCUGCUCGUUCCGCUCCGUCGUCCGAGCUCCACCGCCUCCGCGGGGCCUCGCCGGGGCCAGGAGGGCGGUGCGCUGCUGCAGCAGCGCCGCUCCCACCGGCGCCUCCACCUCCAAGCUCGUCCUGGAGGUCAAGGAGAGGCUCGAAAGGGAGCACCCGGGCCUCCCGACGGGCAGGAGCGGCAGGGAUGACGACGAGAUGAUCCUCUGGUUCUUGAAGGACAGGAAGUUCGCCGUCGACGAAGCCGUCUCCAAGCUGGCCAAGGCCAUCAAAUGGCGUCAGGAUUUCCGCGUGUCGGAAUUAUCAGAAGAAUCAGUGAAAGGAUUGUACCAAACUGGCAAAGCAUAUGUGCAUCAUUCUUUUGACAUCAACGGCAGGCCUGUGCUAGUAGUAGUCGCAGCCAAACAUUUCCCUUCUAAACAAGACCCACUUGAAAAUGAGAAGUUAUGUGCCUUUUUGGUCGAAAAGGCUUUACGUAACCUUCCCAUGGGAACAGAUAAUAUACUUGGAAUUUUCGAUCUUCGAGGCUUUGGUGUAGAAAAUGGUGAUCUCCAAUUCUUAAAGUUUUUGAUUGAUGUGUUCUACUAUUACUAUCCCAAGCGGCUUGGCGAAGUUCUGUUUGUGGAUGCUCCAUUUGUGUUCCAGCCAAUGUGGCAGCUUGUUAAACCUCUGCUGAAACAAUAUGCCUCCUUGGUGAGAUUUUGUGAUGCUGAGACCGUGAGAAAGGAGUACUUCACAGAAGAGACCGUGCCUCCCGAUUUCCGCCGUUAGGCGUCAUGGUUUCUGUAUACUGAGCUGACAUACUGUUAAUGGCUGGUGGCCAGAUUCUGUGGAAGCGUUGCAACCAACCAUGGUGUCGACGAGAGCUCUAAUGUUUAUCGCCGUUUGACCACCGGAACAUGAAGGCACGCCAUGGCCAUCCUUUGCUGGUGCCACCGCUGGAUAUGUCUCAGAAACUUUUCGCCUGUGGGUUUGUUUUCGAGGAAGUGUUUGAAGAUUGGAUGUUGGAUAACCAUCUUAUACUCUUUUUUUUUUUUUGCGGGUGAUCUUCCACUAAAGUUAUUGCGGGUGUAAAUAGUUCGAAGAUUAUCAACGCGGAAUAACUUUUUGUAACGAGCUUGUGAAAUAAAAUGGUUAUCUCGAUAAUAAUGCCAGUAAGGGGAUUUUUCUUUCC